rnacentral:tRNA from 1 species
AUCCAUUUAGCUCAGUGGUUUGAGCAUUGGUCUGUUAAACCCAGGGUUGUGAGUUCAAUCCUUGCAGAGGCCA